rnacentral:tRNA from 1 species
CGGGCGGUAGCGCAGCCUGGCUAGCGCACCUGCUUUGGGAGCAGGGGGUCGCGGGUUCGAAUCCCGCCCGCCCGACCA